rnacentral:rRNA from 1 species
UACGGGGGGGGCAAGCGUUGUUCGGAAUUACUGGGCGUAAAGGGCGCGUAGGCGGCCUGCUAAGUCGAACGUGAAAUCCCUGGGCUCAACCCAGGAACUGCGUCCGAUACUGGUUGGCUUGAAUCCGGGAGAGGGAUGUGGAAUUCCAGGUGUAGCGGUGAAAUGCGUAGAUAUCAAGAGGAACACCUGAGGUGAAGACGGGUUGCUGGGCCAACACUGACGCUGAUGCGCGAAAGCCAGGGGAGCAAACGGG